rnacentral:rRNA from 1 species
GACGAACGCUGGCGGCGUGCUUAACACAUGCAAGUCGAACGGAAAGGCCUCUUUCGGGGGGUACUCGAGUGGCGAACGGGUGAGUAACACGUGAGUAACCUGCCCUUUACUUUGGGAUAACUUCAGGAAACUGUGGCUAAUACCGGAUAUGAGCUCCUGCUGCAUGGUGGGGGUUGGAAAGUUUCGGCGGUUGGGGAUGGACUCGCGGCUUAUCAGCUUGUUGGUGGGGUAGUGGCUUACCAAGGCUUUGACGGGUAGCCGGCCUGAGAGGGUGACCGGCCACAUUGGGACUGAGAUUCGGCCCAGACUCCUACGGGAGGCAGCAGUGGGGAAUAUUGCACAAUGGGUGGAAGCCUGAUGCAGCAACGCCGUGUGCGGGAUGACGGCCUUCGGGUUGUAAACCGCUUUCGCUCAUGACGAAGCUUUGUGUGACGGUAGUGGGUAAAGAAGCACCGGCUAACUACGUG